CACGUAGGGCGCAAGCGUUGUCCGGAAUCACUGGGCGUAAAGGGUGCGUAGGCGGGUCUUUAAGUCAGGGGUGAAAUCCUGGAGCUCAACUCCAGAACUGCCUUUGAUACUGAGGAUCUUGAGUUCGGGAGAGGUGAGUGGAACUGCGAGUGUAGAGGUGAAAUUCGUAGAUAUUCGGAAGAACACCAGUGGCGAAGGCGGCUCACUGGUCCGGUACUGACGCUGAGGCGCGAAAGCGUGGGGAGCAAACAGG
rnacentral:rRNA from 1 species